rnacentral:rRNA from 1 species
CAAGCGUUGUUCGGAAUUACUGGGCGUAAAGGGCGCGUAGGCGGCCUGCUAAGUCGGACGUGAAAUCCCUCGGCUCAACCGAGGAACUGCGUCCGAUACUGGCGGGCUCGAAUCCGGGAGAGGGAUGUGGAAUUCCAGGUGUAGCGGUGAAAUGCGUAGAUAUCAAGAGGAACACCAGUGGCGAAGGCGAGUCCCUGGACAACACCUGACACUGAGGCACGAAAGCCGGGGGAGCAAACAGG